UGGGGAAUAUUGCACAAUGGGCGCAAGCCUGAUGCAGCCAUGCCGCGUGUGUGAAGAAGGCCUUCGGGUUGUAAAGCACUUUCAGCGAGGAGGAAGGUGGUGAGCUUAAUACGCUCAUCAAUUGACGUUACUCGCAGAAGAAGCACCGGCUAACUCCGUGCCAGCAGCCGCGGUAAUACGGAGGGUGCAAGCGUUAAUCGGAAUUACUGGGCGUAAAGCGCACGCAGGCGGUUUGUUAAGUCAGAUGUGAAAUCCCCGGGCUCAACCUGGGAACUGCAUUUGAAACUGGCAAGCUAGAGUCUCGUAGAGGGGGGUAGAAUUCCAGGUGUAGCGGUGAAAUGCGUAGAGAUCUGGAGGAAUACCGGUGGCGAAAGGCGGCCCCCUGGACGAAGACUGACGCUCAGGUGCGAAAGCGUGGGGGAGCAAAACAGGAUUAGAUACCCUGGUAGUCCACGCUGUAAAACGAUGUCGAUUUUGGAGGUUGUGCCCCUUGAGGCGUGGCUUCCGGAG
rnacentral:rRNA from 1 species